GUUUAAAUACCUUAUAAAUGGAUUUAGUGGAAUCCUAUGAUGCUAAAUAGAUGAUUGUUGCUUAAAUCAUGGAUCAAUUUAAUGAUUUCUUGCAAUAGGUGAAACCUAGGGUCCAAAAUGCUAAUUUUCAAAAUAUGAGGGUUUGAUCUAAUUUGACCAUCCGUAAACCUAAUUGCUAGGUAACGAAACGCGUUGGCGAAGACGGUUCGGCAAUCCGACGAGCCGUUGCGAAGUUAUUAAAGAAACGGACGUUUAGGCUUCGGGUCCGCCGGGAGGGCCGAGGCGACGUCGUAAAAUCAUGGAAAUGGAUUUGAGGCAUCGUGUUAGCGUGGCGAAGAGCUUCUACACUUGAAACAGCGAAGCGGCGCGCUCUUGGACCGCAAUUGUGAGAUCGGGCCAAACCGGGUGCCGGGUGCCGCGGGCGGCCGAUUGCAAGUGUCGACAAGCAAUCGGAACGCGUGUUAAGGUUCGUACGUGAGCAGCGCGGCGGCGUGAGGAAAGGGCGUAGCUCCGUAGAUAGCGCCCUACCCCGGAGACCAGAGCUAGCAGUACCCGUCUACAAAGCUUAGGGGUAAAGGAAAUGAAAAGAAAGCGAAUGUAUCAAAUUGUAAUAAGUAAACGAUGUACUACUUAGAUUGUAUUUGGAAGUUAAAGCAAUUGAGAAUUGAGAUGUAAAAUGCGUGAA